GUGGAUUAGAUACUCUGGUAGUCCACGCUGUAAACGAUGAUCACUCGCUGUUUGCGAUAUACGGUAAGCGGCUGAGCGAAAGCAAUAAGUGAUCCACCUGGGGAGUACGAUCGCAAGGUUGAAACUCAAAGGAAUUGACGGGGGCCCGCACAAGCGGAGGAACAUGUGGUUUAAUUCGAUGAUACGCGAGGAACCUUACCUGGGCUUAAAUGGGGAGUGACAGCUGCUGAAAGGUGGCCUUCUUCGGACACUCUUCAAGGUGCUGCACGGCUGUCGCCAGCU
rnacentral:rRNA from 1 species